CCACCCGACCUUGUUCGCAUUGCCAGUGUCCAGUCUACCACUGGCCGCAGAGUUGAGCUUACCAUCUGUCCAAUGGUUUGGAGUAGGUCUCAGACUCCAGAAUGGGAAAAUGUUUAACAAGAAAGAAACAGAUGAAGACACAGAAGGGGACUAUGAGACCCUAUGUUGUAUUUUAAAUAGUUAAUCUGUCAAUUUCUAUUCUGACUUGUAAUGUUAAAAAGGGGAGAAAAAUACAUCCCCUGUUUAUCUGAAUUAGCUAGGCUACUCACUAUACCAAUAAUGGGCUACAGAUUUGAGUCACUGCAAUUAAAAUUGUUUUGCCAAUGGAUCUUUCUAUUAAAUUACAUACUGUUAAAUGUUUGCAACUCAUUAAUAAAUGGCCAGAAGAUUUCCA